GACGAACGCCGGCGGCGUGCCUAAUACAUGCAAGUCGAACGGUCUUUUCUAUGGAAGCUUGCUUCCACUGAGAAGAUAGUGGCGAACGGGUGAGUAACACGUGGGUAACCUGCCCAUAAGAGGGGGAUAACAUCCGGAAACGGGUGCUAAUACCGCAUAGUUUUCUUGAUCGCAUGAUUGAGAAAGGAAAGACGGCCUUUGUGCUGUCGCUUAUGGAUGGACCCGCGGCGUAUUAGUUAGUUGGUGAGGUAACGGCUCACCAAGACGAUGAUACGUAGCCGACCGGAGAGGGUGAUCGGCCACAUUGGGACUGAGACACGGCCCAAACUCCUACGGGAGGCAGCAGUAGGGAAUCUUCCGCAAUGGACGAAAGUCUGACGGAGCAACGCCGCGUGAGUGAAGAAGGUUUUCGGAUCGUAAAGCUCUGUUGUCAGAGAAGAACAAGUUGGAGAGUAACUGCUCCAGCCUUGACGGUAUCUGACCAGAAAGCCACGGCUAACUACGUGCCAGCAGCCGCGGUAACAC
rnacentral:rRNA from 1 species